rnacentral:lncRNA from 1 species
CUGCCUCCAGGGCAAGAUUCAUGACAAUAAAGUCUUCCCCGUGGCUCAGUUUGUAGAGCAUGGUGUGUGCAACGCCAGGGUUGUGGGUUCGAUUCCCACGGGGGCCAGUACAAUUAUUAUUUUUUUUAAAUGUAUGAAAUUUAUACAUUCACGACUGUAAGUCGCUCUGGAUAAGAGCGUCUGCUAAAUGACUAAAAUGUAAAUGUAAAAUGUAAUUCAUGACAAUAAAUGCCAACCUGCCUCCCAGUCGUCCCCUCCUUAUCUUUACAAGGCUGCAGAACAUGCAAGCUAGUGAUGUGGGGGUUCUCUCAUAACCCUCAGUCCCCAGGUGGGUAGAUGGCAGGUUGAAUAAAGAGAAGCUAGUGAUGUGGGGGUUCUCUCAUAACCCUCAGUCCCCAGGUGGGUAGAUGGCAGGUUGAAUAAAGAGAAGCUAGUG